AAAAUGCGAAAUGUCGUGUGACAUGCAUUCCUCGUGAAUCAUCAAAUCUUUGAACGCACCUUGCACCUUUUGACUUUGUCAUCAGGUAUACUUGUUUGAGUAUCGUAACAUGACUCUCUUCGUCGAGUGUGUGUUCUUCUCUCGAGAAGACGGCGCGCACGAUGAAGAGGACUUGAGAGUCUGGCUGGGUUGUUGACCCUUUUCGCCAGUCUCUUUAAAUGAAUGCCUUGUUAAGGUCUCUAGUCUCGGUUGGACACGCAAGUGUCUGACGGUCUAAUGGGAUAACAUCCUAACAUUUGACUACUAGACAUGCCUUUGCUAAUACUGGCUCCUGAACCACAGUCGACUGGGCUUACCUGAUCGUAAGCUUGCUUCUGUGAAGUCACUCUAAUUACCGAUC
rnacentral:misc_RNA from 1 species